UAGAUUAAAGCCUAUUAAAAAAUUAGGUGCUUAGCUGUUAACUAAGAGAUUGUAGGAUAAAGGCCUGCUAGUCUAG
rnacentral:tRNA from 1 species